rnacentral:rRNA from 1 species
UACGUAGGGUGCAAGCGUUGUCCGGAAUUAUUGGGCGUAAAGAGCUCGUAGGCGGUCUGUCACGUCGGCUGUGAAAUCCCGAGGCUCAACCUCGGGUCUGCAUUCGAUACGGGCUAGCUAGAGUGUGGUAGGGGAGAUCGGAAUUCCUGGUGUAGCGGUGAAAUGCGCAGAUAUCAGGAGGAACACCGGUGGCGAAGGCGGAUCUCUGGGCCAUUACUGACGCUGAGGAGCGAAAGCGUGGGGAGCGAACAGG